GAAAUGCGAUAAGUAAUGUGAAUUGCAGAAGUCAGUGAAUCAUCGAAUCUUUGAACGCACAUUGCGCCCGCCAGCACUCUGGCGGGCAUGCCUGUUCGAGCGUCAUUUCAACCCUCAGAACCCCUUGCGGGAUCUGGCGUUGGGGAUUGGCAUCCAGCCAGCCCCGAAAUCUAGUGGCGGUCCCUCCGCGACCUCCCCUGUGCAGUAGCGAUACCUCGCAGCGGGACAGCGGUCUGACCACGCCGUAAAACCCCCAACUUCUCAAGGUUGACCUCGAAUCAGGUAUGAAUACCCGCUGAACUUAAGC
rnacentral:misc_RNA from 1 species